GCCACCUUAGCUCAGUCGGCAGAGCGUCUCACUCGUAAUGAGAAGGUCGCGGGUUCGAUUCCCGCAGGUGGCU
rnacentral:tRNA from 1 species